GGUCACUACUCCGAGCUUUUACAGUAAGAAAUUUCUAUCCGAGCUUCCAUGACAACCGAUCUUCGACCGAGCUUCUACAAUAAGUGGCCUCCUUUUAGCCUGCUACAAGAACCAGGCUUCAUCCAAACUUUCAUAGCGAUGGAUUCCGGACGAGCUGUUACAACAGACGAGCUCCAGCAGCUGGACUUCUACAACGGCCAAUCGCCUCCGGUGUCUGUCGAACCUCCCCAGCCAUCAGCCUUCAAUAGCAUCAGCCAGACUUUCACAACGUCAUCCAGACUUCCGCAGGAUCUCCAGACU
rnacentral:lncRNA from 1 species